rnacentral:rRNA from 1 species
UACGUAGGGCGCAAGCGUUGUCCGGAAUUAUUGGGCGUAAAGAGCUCGUAGGCGGCUUGUCACGUCGGAUGUGAAAGCCCGAGGCUUAACCUCGGGUCUGCAUUCGAUACGGGCUAGCUAGAGUGUGGUAGGGGGAGAUCGGAAUUCCUGGUGUAGCGGUGAAAUGCGCAGAUAUCAGGAGGAACACCGGUGGCGAAGGCGGAUCUCUGGGCCAUUACUGACGCUGAGGAGCGAAAGCGUGGGGAGCGAACAGG